GUAGUUAGCCGGGGCUUCCUCCUUGGCUACCGUCACUUUCUUCGUUGCCAAGGACAGAGGUUUACAACCCGAAAGCCUUCUUCCCUCACGCGGCGUUGCUGGGUCAGGCUUGCGCCCAUUGCCCAAUAUUCCCCACUGCUGCCUCCCGCAGGAGUCUGGACCGUAUCUCAGUUCCAGUGUGGCCGAUCAGCCUCUCAGCUCGGCUACCCAUCGUCGACUUGGUGGGCCGUUACCCCGCCAACUAUCUAAUGGGACGCGAACCCCUCUUAUACCGGAUUGCUCCUUUGACCUCAUCCCGAUGUCGGGUCGUGGUCUUAUGCGGUAUUAGCAACCGUUUCCGGUUGUUAUCCCCCUGUAUAAGGCAGGUUGCCCACGUGUUACUCACCCGUCCGCCGCUAGAAAAGCUCCGAAGAACUUUUCUCGCUCGACUUGCAUGUGUUAAGCACGCCGCCAGCGUUCAUCCUGAGCCAGGAUCAAACUCUGA
rnacentral:rRNA from 1 species